rnacentral:rRNA from 1 species
GACGAACGCUGGCGGCGUGCUUAACACAUGCAAGUCGAACGGUAAGGCCCUUCGGGGUACACGAGUGGCGAACGGGUGAGUAACACGUGGGUGAUCUGCCCUGCACUUCGGGAUAAGCCUGGGAAACUGGGUCUAAUACCGGAUAGGACCACUGCCUGCAUGGGUGGUGGUGGAAAGCUUUUGCGGUGUGGGAUGGGCUCGCGGCCUAUCAGCUUGUUGGUGGGGUGAUGGCCUACCAAGGCGACGACGGGUAGCCGGCCUGGGAGGGGGACCGGCCACACUGGGACUGAGAUACGGCCCAGACUCCUACGGGAGGCAGCAGUGGGGAAUAUUGCACAAUGGGCGCAAGCCUGAUGCAGCGACGCCGCGUGAGGGAUGACGGCCUUCGGGUUGUAAACCUCUUUCAGCACCGACGAAGCGCAAGUGACGGUAGGUGCAGAAGAAGGACCGGCCAACUACGUGCCAGCAGCCGCCGUAA